AGAGUUUGAUCAUGGCUCAGAAUCAACGCUGGCGGCGUGCCUCAGACAUGCAAGUCGAACGCGAAAGGUUCCUUCGGGAACCGAGUAGAGUGGCGCACGGGUGAGUAACACGUAGGUAAUUUGCCUUCGGGUGGGGAAUAACAGCCGGAAACGGCUGCUAAUACCGCAUAAUGCAGCGGCUCGACAUCGAGACAGUUGUUAAAGCGGGGGAUCGCAAGACCUCGCGCCUGAAGAGAAGCCUGCGGCAGGUUAGCUAGUUGGCAGGGUAAUGGCCUACCAAGGCGACGAUCUGUAACCGGCCUGAGAGGGCGGUCGGUCACACUGACACUGACAUACGGGUCAGACUCCUACGGGAGGCAGCAGUCGGGAAUUUUGGGCAAUGGGCGAAAGCCUGACCCAGCAACGCCGCGUGAAGGAUGAAAUCCCUCGGGAUGUAAACUUCGCAAGAAUGGGAAGAAUAAGUGCGGGCUAACACCACGUACGAUGACGGUACCAUUUGUAAGCUCCGGCUAACUCCGUGCCAGCAGCCGCGGUAAUACGGGGGGAGCAAGCGUUGUUCGGAUUUACUGGGCGUAAAGGGCGCGUAGGCGGCCACGACAAGUCACUUGUGAAAUCUCCGGGCUUAACUCGGAACGGUCAAGUGAUACUGUCGGGCUAGAGUGCAGAAGGGGCAACUGGAAUUCUCGGUGUAGCGGUGAAAUGCGUAGAUAUCGAGAGGAACACCUGCGGCGAAGGCGGGUUGCUGGGCCGACACUGACGCUGAGGCGCGAAAGCCAGGGGAGCGAACGGGAUUAGAUACC
rnacentral:rRNA from 1 species